ACCAAGGCGACGACGGGUAGCCGGCCUGAGAGGGCGACCGGCCACACUGGGACUGAGACACGGCCCAGACUCCUACGGGAGGCAGCAGUGGGGAAUAUUGCGCAAUGGGCGGAAGCCUGACGCAGCGACGCCGCGUGGGGGAUGAAGGCCUUCGGGUUGUAAACCCCUUUCACCAGGAGCGAAUCCAGACGGUACCUGGGGAAGAAGCGCCGGCUAACUACGUGCCAGCAGCCGCGGUAAUACGUAGGGCGCAAGCGUUGUCCGGAAUUAUUGGGCGUAAAGAGCUCGUAGGCGGCCUGUCGCGUCCGCUGUGAAAUCCUGGGGCUUAACCCCGGGCGUGCAGUGGAUACGGGCUGGCUAGAGGCAGGCAGGGGAGAACGGAAUUCCCGGUGUAGCGGUGAAAUGCGCAGAUAUCGGGAGGAACACCGGUGGCGAAGGCGGUUCUCUGGGCCUGUUCUGACGCUGAGGAGCGAAAGCGUGGGGAGCGAACAGGAUUAGAUACCCUGGUAGUCCACGCCGUAAACGUUGGGCGCUAGGUGUGGGUCCCUUCCACGGGCUCUGUGCCGCAGCUAACGCAUUAAGCG
rnacentral:rRNA from 1 species